CUUAAGGGCUGGCAGUGGAGGCAAGGCUGUUUUGCUGGAGAUCUUUGUCUACCUGUGGCCUCCCAAGGGGCACAUGAAGCUGCCUAAGAGGGAAGUACUCAUCCAGAUGCAAGGUGGACAAAAGCAAUGGCACAGGUCUUCAGGCUGCCCUGCUGAGGUUUCCCAAGUAUCUCCAGGAGGGCCAGGAUACAUGAGUUCUUGCAAGUAAAGGAAAAAUACCUAUCUUCUAUUUCUUUUCCUCAUCUCAGAUGUUUUGGACCAUAGUGAGACUGUUCUCAAGAGGUGAUUGUGCUAAUUCUUUCCUCUCACAAAUAUGUUCUUGGGCGAUCAAUCAAGAUGAACUUACAGAUGCCAUGAAGUCAUGAUGUUGAACAACCCCAACUCUACUUUCAGAAGUCAAAGAGGAUCUCAACAACACAGCUGGGGCUUGGACAAAAUUCUCUAGCAGCAGUCUGCAAAUUACAGUGAUUCCUUGAAGAGACAGAAAACAGAACAAAGCAACUUAACCUGGGAGGAGGAGUUCAAAUCUGUUUGGCUUGGACAAGUUUGAGAAGUGAGCCCACAUUAACCUAAUGUCCAAGUGCAAGGAACUGCACCUGGGCUGGGACAAUACCAAAUAUGAGUACAAACUGGACACUUUCCUGUGCAGCCUAUUGUAGGGAACCUGCUUUAACAGUGAGAUUGGACUUAAUAAUCUUCAGAGGUCCCUUCCAACCCCUGGGAGAAGAACUUGAGAGCAGACCUGCAGAGAAGGACUAAGGGGUUCUGGUAGGUAUGAGCUAGAUUUAAGCCAGCUGUGUGCACUUGCAGCCCAGAAGGUCAACAGAAUCCUGGGUGGAACUAAAGAGGGGUGGCAGCAGGGAGAGGGAGGGGAUUGUCCCUCUUUGCUCUGUCCUUGUGAGGUCCCAACUGGAGUACUGUAUCUGGGCCUGGGGCCCCAGCACCAGAAGGAUGCAAAGCUGUUGAGUGGGUCCAGAGGAGUCCAUGAAAAUGAUCAGGGGGAGGGAGCACCUCUCCUUUUGAGACAGGCUAGGAGAGCUGGGCUUUUCCAGCUUGGAGAAGAGGCUCCUGGGAGGCCUCCUUGUGGCCUUAAAGCAAGUUUUUGAACAAGACAGAAGCUGACCUUUUGUGCAGUCUGAUAGGCAUAGGACAAGGUGGAAGUGUCUUAAACUAAGAAAAGAAGAUUUAGGUUAGAUGUUAUACAG
ensembl:lncRNA